ensembl:rRNA 5S_rRNA 5S ribosomal RNA
GUCUACAGCCAUGCCACCCUGAACGUGCCUGAUCUCAUCUGUUUUUUGGAAGCUAAGCAGGGUUGGGCCUGGUUAGUACUAGGACGGGAGACCGCCCAGGAAGACCUAGGUGCUGUAGGCA